CCUACGGGAGGCAGCAGUGAGGACUAUUGGUCAAUGGCCGGAAGGCUGAACCAGCCAAGCCGCGUGAAGGACGAAGGUGCCAAGCAUUGUCAACUUCUUUUGUCAAGGGACAAAAUCAGGCUCGCGAGCCUGACCGAGGGUACUUGAAGAAAAAGCAUCGGCUAACUCCGUGCCAGCAGCCGCGGUAAUACGGAGGAUGCGAGCGUUAUCCGGAUUUAUUGGGUGUAAAGGGUGGGUAGACGGAGAAGCAAGUUAGUUGUGACAUCCCGCGGCGUAACUGAGGAAAUGCAACUAAAACUAAUUACCUUGAGUACUGGAGAGGAAAGUGGAAUUCCGAGUGUAGCGGUGAAAUGCGUAGAUAUUAGGAGGAACAACAGUGGCGAAGGCGACUGUCUGGACAGUAACUGACGUUGAGGCACGAAAGUGUGGGGAGCAAACAGGAUUAGAUACCCUUGUAGUC
rnacentral:rRNA from 1 species